rnacentral:rRNA from 1 species
AGUCGUACGAGGGUAGCCGUAACGGGGGUACACGAGUGGCGAACGGGUGAGUAACACGUGAGCAACCUGCCCUUGACUUCGGAAUACCAGCUGGAAACAGCUGCUAAUACCGGAUAUGACCUCGGCCCUCAUGGGUUGGGGUGGAAAGCUCCGGCGGUCAAGGAUGGGCUCGCGGCCUAUCAGCUUGUUGGUGAGGUAAUGGCUCACCAAGGCUUCGACGGGUAGCCGGCCUGAGAGGGCGACCGGCCACACUGGGACUGAGAUACGGCCCAGACUCCUACGGGAGGCAGCAGUGGGGAAUAUUGCACAAUGGGCGCAAGCCUGAUGCAGCAACGCCGCGUGCGGGAUGACGGCCUUCGGGUUGUAAACCGCUUUCAGUAGGGACGAAGCUAACGUGACGGUACCUACAGAAGAAGGACCGGCUAACUACGUGCCAGCAGCCGCGGUGAUACGUAGGGUCCGAGCGUUGUCCGGAAUUAUUGGGCGUAAAGGGCUUGUAGGCGGUCCGUCGCGUCAGGAGUGAAAACUCGGGGCUUAACCCCGAGCCUGCUUUUGAUACGGGCGGACUAGAGGGAUGCAGGGGAGAACGGAAUUCCUGGUGGAGCGGUGGAAUGCGCAGAUAUCAGGAGGAACACCGGUGGCGAAGGCGGUUCUCUGGGCAUCACCUGACGCUGAGAAGCGAAAGCGUGGGGAGCAAACAGGCUUAGAUACCCUGGUAGUCCACGCCGUAAACGGUGGGCACUAGGUGUGGGGGACAUUCCACGUUCUCCGUGCCGAAGCUAACGCAUUAAGUGCCCCGCCUGGGGAGUACGGCCGCAAGGCUAAAACUCAAAGGAAUUGACGGGGGCCCGCACAAGCGGCGGAGCAUGCGGAUUAAUUCGAUGCAACGCGAAGAACCUUA